rnacentral:rRNA from 1 species
UACGGAGGGGACUAGCGUUGUUCGGAAUUACUGGGCGUAAAGCGCACGUAGGCGGAUUUGUAAGUCAGGGGUGAAAGUCCCGGGGCUCAACCUCGGAACUGCCUUUGAUACUGCAAAUCUCGAGUCCGGAAGAGGUGAGUGGAAUUCCUAGUGUAGAGGUGAAAUUCGUAGAUAUUAGGAAGAACACCAGUGGGCGAAGGCGGCUCACUGGUCCGGUACUGACGCUGAGGUGCGAAAGCGUGGGGAGCAAACAGG